AUGACGUAAUCAAAUGACCUGACCCAACAGCGAUAGAGUUUUGAUAUCUAUUUAAAUACACAUAACUUACUCUGUUGAUAUCCUACGGAAACUCGCGAACGUUAUAAUGACAGAUUUCUUUCUGCUGCAAAGCAAGGUUUGUCAAAAGAACCAGAUGGAGAAAGUAUCAGACUUACAAUGUAAGUACUGGAGUCGAUCUCUUCGAUUAAACCUUUCAAAAUAGGAUCCCAGCAUGGCCGCAGUCCAACGACUGAAUCAAAUAAGAGCAAAAUAUAAAGCUAACUGAAUUGAUUGUAAACAAAGAAAGCCACGAUAAACAUAACUACGUUAAAUAAACGGUAUACAGAUUGUUGUGCAAUCUUUAUACCGUUUUGCCAUGGACCUGACGCUGUAUGACUUCGCUUUUUUCGUCACAUUGUCAAUAAUGUUUGCAUCCUCGUAACAGACAUAAAAACAGCAACCAACUCUAUAUCAUUUUUACCCGAAACAAAGCUGUAACAUGAACUAUGGUACCAUUAAUUCUGUCAAGCUUUAUUUUUACGUGCUGAAAUUAUUUUUCCACCGCAUAAGAUACAGACUAAAAUGGAACAGACUAGUUGACAGUCGCUUGGUUUUCCUGACAACUGCAGACAGAAGAUGCUAUGGUCGUACAAGAGCCAGUAUCAUUGCCUUAAGAAUGUGUUUAAAACGUUUUCAGUAAUACAAAUAACUUUAACAGUUAAAACGUAGAAGGCAUAUAAUAGACGUAUUAGCCACUGUUGGAGAAUCUUGACAGUGAUCAGGUCGCAAAUGGUGCAACGAAAGUUUUGACACCAAAUAAUAAAUGUUUAAGUGAA